rnacentral:rRNA from 1 species
GCCUUCGGGCCUAUGUCUUAUCAUAUAAUCUGAAUGUCUAAUAGAAUGUAAACCCAUUUCGUUGCCUUGAAAACGUAACGAAAGAAAACUAUACAACUUUCAACAACGGAUCUCUUGGCUCUCGCAUCGAUGAAUAACGCAGCGAAAUGCGAUAAGUAAUGUGAAUUGCAGAUUUUCAGUGAAUCAUCGAAUCUUUGAACGCACCUUGCGCCCCUUGGUAUUCCGAGGGGCAUGCCUGUUUGAGUGUCAUUAAAUCCUCAACCCCUCCGAUUCGUUUCGGUGGGGAUUGGACUUGGAGCGUGCUGGCGAAGGUCGGCUCCUCUUUAAAUGCAUCAGCGGAGAAAAUGCCUUUUGCGCCUCUGGCCGUUCAGCGUGAUAAUGAUGUUGCGCUGCGGUCGAGCUUAAGGUCCGCUUCCAAAGGUCCUCGGACAAAUAUACAUAUGACUUUUGACCUCAAAUCAGGUAGGACUACCCGCUGAACUUAAGCAUAUCAAUAAGCGGAGGAA